GGGUGGGUGAUGCGACGGUGUUGUGGGUGAGCCGGCGUUGUGGGUGAGGGGCGGGGAGUUGGAGUCUCGUGGUGAGGGUGCGGGUUGGCUGGAGCUUCGCGGCCAGCGCUAAGCGCGGCGCCCCAAAACCUGCGGGGGCAAUUAAACAAUUGGCCCUCUCGUUCCCAUCCCCGCGACCAGCCGCGUUGUCAUCUUAGCGACGUCGGAGUCCCGGAGUCCCCCCCGCGCGCGGCCACGGCCACGGCCACCGCAGUGCUCUAACCGGCCGUCGACUGGAGGAGAUGGUCCGAAGUCAUCGAGGUCUCCUCCUCCUCUGCGCGGCUCCGUGAAGAGACGAAGAGGAGGAAGAGGUUUGCGCUCUGAGCUUCGCGCGCGCGUCCUGUCUCCCCAGACUCUUAUGUGUGUGUCUCUCUCUCUCUCCUCCGACUCUCUCUCUGAUUCACUCUGAUCGUGGCCUCCUUUGACUAACGCCUCGUAACGCCGACGUAGCCGACUUCUUCUCGCCUGUAGUCCUGCUGCCACCUAGCGUGAGACCGCGCCGGCUUUUACACUGCACGCAUCCAUCCCGCGCGCACACGUGGGCGAGCGAGCGAGCGAGCGAGCGAACGAGCGAACGAGGAGGCGACGCCGCGUCGUGAACGUGCGCAACGCGGACGCGCCUUCGCUUUCGUCCGAAGCGAAACGUCGAGCGGUCGUCGGCGAUAUGGAGGGAGUGAUUCUUGGACCGCACAGCGAGGGCUUCCAUGUACACGCCUGCUCCUCCCCACGCGCAGCGGCACGAGACUUCCGAGCGCUCGGCAGCGAUUUUUUUGUUUUAAUUUGGGCGACCGGAAGAGAAUAACAUCGCUGCGAUUGAGGCGCAGAGACUCGCACGGCGGCGCAUGCGACGAGCAUCGGGCAAGCGACAUUAACAUUGGCGGACGAAUUCGUAGCCAAACCCAAGGUCCGCAGUGGAGCUCGCCAUUGGCGACUGCCUCGAGCUGCAUAGGCUCGGAAGCUCGGCUGCAAGAUCCGGGGUCUAUCGUGCCGAGGACGUCCUGGCUGCUGGACGCAGGCCUUCACGUGCCGUGUCGGCCAUGAGUAUUGGUUUGACCAUACUUCGCCACGCUGAAGCGACCUGGCCACAAAUGAUAUCUCAACGAAGUGGCUGAUCAAGUCCCAUGGAAUAACCAUUCCAUCAGGGCACGAAGAAGCUCCCAGCAAGCGGAGAGAAGCAUCGGACAUCACUGCCAUGUGCCUGGGAGCUUCUUCGGGAAGUAAAGAAAUGAAGGAGCUCCCGACACGCGGAGCGAAAACGUCGGACAACCCGCAAACAAUCGGAGAGAGCUCUGAAGCGCAACCGCAGAAGCCUACGCGGUGGUACGUUCAUCGUUUUUCUCCAGAGCGGAAGAAAGGUGGGACCAAACCUCCUUGUGUCACCGCGCAAAAUGUGAUCCCGUCUCACGUUUGGACGCGUGGCCGCACGUGCGGAACGGAGCGGGGGCGCAGGGACUUGGGAUCGACGCGGUGACGUCUUACGUCAGUUUCAAACGACACACAGAAACGAUGUGUGCAGAAAGCACUCGAGGCCUCGGCGUGCAUUAUGACAAAAAAAAA